GGUUAAGCGACUAAGCGUACACGGUGGAUGCCCUGGCAGUCAGAGGCGAUGAAGGACGUGCUAAUCUGCGAAAAGCGCCGGCGAGGUGAUAUGAACCYUUGACCCGGCGAUGUCCGAAUGGGGAAACCCAGUGCAAUCCGUUGCACUAUCGUUARCUGAAUACAUAGGUUAACGAGGCGAACCGGGGGAACUGAAACAUCUAAGUACCCCGAGGAAAAGAAAUCAACCGAGAUUCCCCCAGUAGCGGCGAGCGAACGGGGAGCAGCCCGGAGUCUGAAUCAGCUUGUGUGUUAGUGGAACGGUCUGGAA
rnacentral:rRNA from 1 species